rnacentral:piRNA from 1 species
UGUCAAAUCCACAGCACCUCCAUUUCUGC